UACGUAGGGUGCGAGCGUUGUCCGGAAUUAUUGGGCGUAAAGAGCGCGUAGGUGGAUCAAUUAGUCUGCUGUGAAAGUCAAAGGCUCAACCUUUGAAAGCCGGUGGAUACUGUUGAUCUAGAGUACGGAAGAGGCGAGUGGAAUUCCUGGUGUAGCGGUGGAAUGCGCAGAUAUCAGGAGGAACACCAAUAGCGAAGGCAGCUCGCUGGGACGUUACUGACACUGAGGCGCGAAAGCGUGGGGAGCAAACAGG
rnacentral:rRNA from 1 species